CCCCUAGAUGUUCUGGGCCGCACGCGCGCUACACUGAACAGUUCAACAAGUCUUAACCUUGGCCGAUAGGUCUGGGUAAUCUUUGAACGCUGUUCGUGAUUGGGAUAGACCUUUGCAAUUAUGGGUCUUCAACGAGGAAUUCCUAGUAAACGCAAGUCAUCAGCUUGCAUUGAUUACGUCCCUGCCCUUUGUACACACCGCCCGUCGCACCUACCGAUUGAAUGGUCCGGUGAAAUCUCGGGACGGCGGCUUGGUCGCUUGCGUCCGACUGCUGAAACUUGAUUAAACCAUAUCAUUUAGAGGAAGGUGAAGUUGUAACA
rnacentral:rRNA from 1 species